UAACUACUGGAAACGGUAGCUAAUACCGCAUAACGUCGCAAGACCAAAGAGGGGGACCUUCGGGCCUCUUGCCAUCGGAUGUGCCCAGAUGGGAUUAGCUAGUAGGUGGGGUAACGGCUCACCUAGGCGACGAUCCCUAGCUGGUCUGAGAGGAUGACCAGCCACACUGGAACUGAGACACGGUCCAGACUCCUACGGGAGGCAGCAGUGGGGAAUAUUGCACAAUGGGCGCAAGCCUGAUGCAGCCAUGCCGCGUGUAUGAAGAAGGCCUUCGGGUUGUAAAGUACUUUCAGCGGGGAGGAAGGGAGUAAAGUUAAUACCUUUGCUCAUUGACGUUACCCGCAGAAGAAGCACCGGCUAACUCCGUGCCAGCAGCCGCGGUAAUACGGAGGGUGCAAGCGUUAAUCGGAAUUACUGGGCGUAAAGCGCACGCAGGCGGUUUGUUAAGUCAGAUGUGAAAUCCCCGGGCUCAACCUGGGAACUGCAUCUGAUACUGGCAAGCUUGAGUCUCGUAGAGGGGGGUAGAAUUCCAGGUGUAGCGGUGAAAUGCGUAGAGAUCUGGAGGAAUACCGGUGGCGAAGGCGGCCCCCUGGACGAAGACUGACGCUCAGGUGCGAAAGCGUGGGGAGCAAACAGGAUU
rnacentral:rRNA from 1 species